CGUGGGCGGGGUGCUUACACAUGCAGUCGAACGAACCUUCGGGUUAGUGGCGGACGGGUGAGUAACGCGUGAGAAUCUGCCCUCAGGAGGGGGACAACAGCUGGAAACGGCUGCUAAUACCCCAUAUGCCGAGAGGUGAAAUGAAUUUCGCCUGAGGAUGAGCCCGCGUCUGAUUAGCUAGUUGGUGAGGUAAGAGCUCACCAAGGCAUCGAUCAGUAGCUGGUCUGAGAGGAUGAUCAGCCACACUGGGACUGAGACACGGCCCAGACUCCUACGGGAGGCAGCAGUGGGGAAUUUUCCGCAAUGGGCGAAAGCCUGACGGAGCAACGCCGCGUGAGGGAUGAAGGCCUCUGGGCUGUAAACCUCUUUUCUCAAGGAAGAAGAUCUGACGGUACUUGAGGAAUAAGCCACGGCUAAUUCCGUGCCAGCAGCCGCGGUAAUACGGGAGUGGCAAGCGUUAUCCGGAAUUAUUGGGCGUAAAGCGUCCGCAGGCGGCCCUUCAAGUCUGCUGUUAAAACGUGGAGCUUAACUCCAUCAUGGCAGUGGAAACUGUUGGGCUCGAGUGUGGUAGGGGCAGAGGGAAUUCCCGGUGUAGCGGUGAAAUGCGUAGAUAUCGGGAAGAACACCAGUGGCGAAGGCGCUCUGCUGGGCCAUAACUGACGCUCAUGGACGAAAGCCAGGGGAGCGAAAGGGAUUAGAUACCCCUGUAGUCCUGGCCGUAAACGAUGAACACUAGGUGUCGGGGGAAUCGACCCCCUCGGUGUCGUAGCCAACGCGUUAAGUGUUCCGCCUGGGGAGCACGCACGCAAGUGUGAAACUCAAAGGAAUUGACGGGGGCCCGCACAAGCGGUGGAGUAUGUGGUUUAAUUCGAUGCAACGCGAAGAACCUUACCAGGGUUUGACAUCCUGCGAAUCUCCUGGAAACGGGAGAGUGCCUUCGGGAACGCAGUGACAGGUGGUGCAUGGCUGUCGUUAGCUCGUGUCGUGAGAUGUUGGGUUA
rnacentral:rRNA from 1 species